rnacentral:lncRNA from 1 species
AAAGAACCCAAAGAUAUUAAUUGUACUGUCAUAUCAGACAGAGAAAAUGAGCAAAAUCUCACAUUUUCCAAAAAGAGAAAAUGAGCAAAAAUGAGGUAUUUUGAUAAUUGCGUCACUGAAAACAUGACUCGAUUAUCAAAAUACCAUACACAGCAAAUGUGCCAGUGUUAUUUUUUUAGUGUUGGUGUAAAUUAACAGGGGUUACUAUUAAUUUUACUCAGAAUUGAUCAAAAUUAACUCCCCCUAGAGUCAGUUCCUGAUAGUGUCAGAGUUGAUUUCCGUCGUUAUGAGAAUCACUCUGAAUUUACAUUCUGGCUCGUUAAAUUGGCCACACCCACCGUUUGAAUCGCUUGCCGUGGCAGUGACUGACUGGCACACUGGUGGCACACAGAGUCAGCAGCAGACUGCAGUCAUAGCCUACUUGUUGUCCAAAUCUCUUCUUUGGAAGAAGAAAGAACUUCUUUCUAAGGUAAGGUAAGUUUCAGUCGAUAAAAUUCUCUCUUUGGGAUUGAUAUUAGUGUUUUUUUUUGUGUGGUUGAUUUUGGCUGCUAGCUAGCUAGCGAAGUUGGCUAGCUAGCUAACGUUAGCUUAGCUCGCUAGCCCUGGCCAACGUUGCGCUGGACCAGGGUUUAGCAGUGGCAGGAAAGACCAUUUAAUCUGUAUUCUCGCUGUUCUCAGGUCAAAUAUUUAUACGCGAUUAAUUUAGAUUAAGUAAUUACAAAGCUUCUAAUUAAUUUGAUUAAUUUUUUUAAUCCAGUCCCGGCCCUAAAUAUAGUGUUUUGUUUUUUAACAGCAUUUCACCUUCCUUCAUCACGGUCAGUGUCAUGUUGGCUGUCAUGUGCGUGGUAGUCGUGGUAAUUGUACAGUGUUCAAAUUACCCCCACCCCGGGGGAAACACUGGGUGUAAAUGUAAGAAAUUAGGAAUAAUAAAUGAUGCCAUUCUUGUCUUUGAAGCGACAUGCUGGUUCCUGUAGAGUAUAAAGGAGUCAGCAAAUGGGUCAGGGUACCACAGGCGGAGGACGAGUACAAUUACUCCCAGUUUUUGCAAGCAGUGCUGGCAAAAUUCAAUUUGCCAGGUUCUGCUUCCUUGAGCCUGAAGGAUUCCUCUAACGUGGAAGUGGAUUCGGACAUAUUCGAUGAACUCUUGAAGUCAUCUGGGGUGUCGUUCAAGAAUGUGAUGGUAAGGGAUUGCAGGCUUAUAUUUUUAAUUUUUAAGAAUUUGAGUCUGUUUUCUACAAAAGGUUAAUUGAGCUGUAACUCGUUUCCUCUCAUGGUCAAUUGCGUCAUUUACAAUGCAAGGCUGUGUGUUUUCUUAGGUAGCAAUGCUGAGGAGUUCUCAGAGGGCUCAUCUUUAUCAGACUGGUCACCAUCACCAUCACGUGCAUCCCAAGGGUCAUCAUCAGGUUCUGACUCAACACUGAUACUGGAAUCUACCAAAGCUUGGAAAAGACAGCUGGUUGAAGGACCCCUGGAUAGCAACGUUGCA